rnacentral:rRNA from 1 species
UCCCUGGCUCAGGAUGAACGCUGGCGGCGUGCCUAAUACAUGCAAGUCGAGCGAAUGGAUUAAGAGCUUGCUCUUAUGAAGUUAGCGGCGGACGGGUGAGUAACACGUGGGUAACCUACCCAUAAGACUGGGAUAACUCCGGGAAACCGGGGCUAAUACCGGAUAAUAUUUUGAACUGCAUAGUUCGAAAUUGAAAGGCGGCUUCGGCUGUCACUUAUGGAUGGACCCGCGUCGCAUUAGCUAGUUGGUGAGGUAACGGCUCACCAAGGCAACGAUGCGUAGCCGACCUGAGAGGGUGAUCGGCCACACUGGGACUGAGACACGGCCCAGACUCCUACGGGAGGCAGCAGUAGGGAAUCUUCCGCAAUGGACGAAAGUCUGACGGAGCAACGCCGCGUGAGUGAUGAAGGCUUUCGGGUCGUAAAACUCUGUUGUUAGGGAAGAACAAGUGCUAGUUGAAUAAGCUGGCACCUUGACGGUACCUAACCAGAAAGCCACGGCUAA